rnacentral:rRNA from 1 species
UGGGGGAUAUUGCACAAUGGAGGAAACUCUGAUGCAGCGACGCCGCGUGAGUGAAGAAGUAUUUCGGUAUGUAAAGCUCUAUCAGCAGGGAAGAUGAUGACGGUACCUGACUAAGAAGCCCCGGCUAACUACGUGCCAGCAGCCGCGGUAAUACGUAGGGGGCAAGCGUUAUCCGGAUUUACUGGGUGUAAAGGGAGCGCAGGCGGUUUGGCAAGUUGAGAGUGGAAGCAGGGGGCUCAACCCCCUGACUGCUCCCAAAACUGUUAAACUUGAGUAUGGGAGAGGCAGGCGGAAUUCCUAGUGUAGCGGUGAAAUGCUUAGAUAUUAGGAAGAACACCGGUGGCGAAGGCGGCCUGCUGGACCAAAACUGACGCUGAGGCUCGAAAGCGUGGGUAGCAAACAGGAUUAGAUACCCUGGUAGUCCCGCUGUAAAGAUGAAUACUAGGUGCUGGGAGGCAUAAGCCUUUCGGUGCCGUCGCAAACGCAUUAAGUAUUCCACCUGGGGAGUACGUUCGCAAGAAUG